rnacentral:lncRNA from 1 species
AAGAAAUUAAAAUGGCAAAGCUAGGCUCCAUUGGUGUGAUCCUAACAAUCUCAUGCUUGCUAGCGUUGACACUAUACGUCAAUGCUAGAAAGCAAGGCCUUGAUAUUGCGGAGGAUUUCCUAGAUUUCCCCCGCAAAGACUUCUACCUCGAAAAAGAAAAGGUCGUGAAGUUCCGCGUCUUUGUUCAGGAUCUCAGUGUAAAUCACCCCAACACCACCACGUACGACGUGGCACAGGCCUCCAUCACCGCGACCUCCCCGACCAGCUUCGGCAAAGUCCGUGUCAUCGACGACCUAGUCACAGCGCAGCCGGAUGGCAACUCCAGGGCGCUCGGCCGCCUCCAAGGGCUCCUCACGAGAUCCGACCUAACGACGCUCGCGAUCUCAGUGAACCUCAACUUGUACUUCUCGGCGGGGCCUUACGCCGGCAGCAUCAUUAGCCUCCUCGGCCGGAACCAGAUCGCGCUGGCCGAGCGGGAGCUUGUGGUCGCUGGCGGCACCGGUGUCUUCCGAUUUGCUCGUGGAUAUGCAAUUCAGAAGACUAACUCUACGCGCACAAACGUAUCGGUGUUGGAAUACAACAUCUACACCACCUACAAUGCUAAACUCAAUGAGGUUGAUGAAAUGUGAGGAAAUAUCAAGUCCAUAUAGAUAGUGGGAUAAAUUUGUGUGAGUGCACGAGUUUGCAUUUGAUUUCUUUGUUGCAUUUUCAUGUGACCACGUACGAAAAUUGUUUUUUUUUUUUUUGUAUUGCUAUGAUUGAUGAAUUAUUAUUUUCCUAAAUCAAGCAUUCUUCUUGUUUGAAUUUCCUAUAUUUUUAAAUUUGUAAUUACAUUAAACAUGUCAAUAAUUAAUUACAAUUAAUAAAUUCGAAAUUGGCAACAGUUAAGUACCAAUAAAACAACGAAGUGCGAUUCAAUUGAUAAGACGAUUUCCCUCUAAUCAAUAAGUCUAAGGUUCGAGUCACCACGAGACCAUUAUUGAUCCUUUUCAAAAAAAAAACAAAAGACCAAUUAAUAAUUAACACCACUUGAUUUUUCAUUAUGUUGGAACCCUAUAAGCUUAAGAGAUGAUGAUGUCCACAACUUUAAAUAUUUUUUUUGUCGAAAUUAAUUCAACUUCUUUAUCAGUUUAGGGGCAAGCCGCAUGUAUCGCUGGGCUCGCGCCUCAGAUCCGACCCGGCAUGUUGACUUGCCGUUGUUUUAGUGUACUAGUUAUAAUAUGUAAAUAAGUCCUUUUUUCUUAAAAGUAAAUGUGACUUUAAAAGUAAUUAAAUGAGAUCUAUACUAUAUUAAAACAGCAGUUUUCAAUUAGAAAUUGAUUUCAAAUCAAUUUCAAUGGCAAUUUUGUGAUUUCUUACAAAAAUAAUGACUUAUUGUACAUAUUCAAAACUUAAGUAACUAACUCAAUUAAAAUUACAUAACCCAUAAUUUUUUUAAAAAUGCACACCCACGUUUAAAAAGACAAAUUGCAUAACCCACGUUUAUAAUUUCAUAAUGAAUUAUAUGUUUAUAUGUGUAUAUAUACACAAUUUAUAAGGCAUUGGUUAUAAAUAAUUUAUAAAUUUAUAUUUAUAUAAUAAUUUAUAAUAUAUUAAGAAGAUAAUUUUCAAUUUCAAAUUGAUUUCAAAAUUAAUAAGUGACAAUUUUGUAGUUAUAAAAAAUUGAAGUUUUAUUUGUACAAUAUAAUUUUUCUUCGUGUUCUUAUUUUUUAAUAUUAUUUCUUUCUAAAAUUGUGAAAUUAAAAUUAUUUAUAAAAUAUAUCAAAUUAAAUAUCAUGAUAAGAGCAUUAAUUUGAUAUAUUUUAUGUAAAUAUUUGAUUUAAAAUGGAGAGUUAUAUUUAUUUAAAGAUUAAUGGUUUUUAAAAAUUCUCUCUCAUCUCUCCUCUUUUUUUGAAUAAAUCAAUUUUUUUCUAUUUUAUUCUUUUUACUUAUUAUUUAUGCCUUUUCACAAUAUCAAUUUUUAUUAUUGUGAAUUUUUCUUUAUUUUUUUUAAUAUUCAACUCAAAUAUAUUAAGUGAAAAUUAAUUUUUUUCUUAUAUUUAUAAAUAUGAUAAUUGAGUUGGUAUCAAUUUAUAUAUAUAAAAAUAUAAAAACGUUUUCCGUGCAUCGCACGGGGUGCAAAUGCUAGUUAUAUUAUUAAAAGCAAAUAAGAUUUUUAAAAAUUAAAAAUAAAAUUAUGCACACAAAACAGGAGUUGUAUUACGCAAAUGAGUUUUUUUAACAAAGCAAAUGAUUUUUUUUAAACGAAUGAAAUAAAUGCACAUAAAGUAUGGACUAUAUUAAUUACAUAAAUGAAACUUUAUUCAAAACCAAAUGAAACUUUUAUUAAAAGAAAAUAAGACUGUUAAAAGAUAAAAAUAAAAUUAUGCACACAAAGCACGAAUUGUAAGACUUUUCUUCAAGACAAAUGAGUUUUUUUUUUUAAAAUUAAACGUGUUUUUUUACGAAAUCAAAUGAGACUUUUGAUUAGAUUAAGAGGGUGUUUGGCUGAGCUUAUAAGCUCCUCAAAACAGUUGUUUAAGAGCUUAUAAGUUCCUUUAAAGUGUUUGACAAAAUAAGCUUCUAAACAGUUUAUAAGCUCCAACAGCUUAUAAGCUCCCCAAAAAAAUAGUUUAUCUACCCCAACUUAUUUUUUUAUAAUCUCAUAUGCAACAAUCAUUUUACAAAUAUUUUUCAACUAUAAUUUAUUAUUUUCAUCAUAUAUCAUUGAAGUUCAUUAUUUUUUGAUUCUCUCUCUCUAGAAAAAAAUUCUCUCUCUCUAGAAAAAAAUUCUCUCUCUAGCUUAUAAGCUCAAUCAUCCAAACACUUUAACAACUUAUAAGCUCUUAAAAAUUACAUCUUAUAAGCUCUUGAAACAUCUUAUAAGCUCCAAGAGCUUAAAAGCUCUUUUAAAUAAGUUUAGCCAAUUCCUCUAAAUUGAGCACGGGUCGGAUUGAAUCUGGACCGUGGAGUCCCAGUAUCACCCAAGUUUUUGUGAUUAGUUUAAGCUACAUCUCCAAUAAAUUAAGUAUAUAUAUAGGAGUAGUUCUAUCAUUUUUGAGGUUUUAAUUGGUCGGGUCUGAAUCAGAAAAUAUAUACGUUAAUGAGAGGAUCGAGAUGAACUUAAUAUGUGUGUGUGUCUAUGUCCUUAUUGACUAAAUUUAAGUAUUUUUUUUUUUUAAAAUACUUUCGAACUUUUUAAUAAAUUUUAAUCAACACAUACUUAACUUCUAAGCAAAUUCAUCAUAUAGAAAAUGUAGAAAUGAAAUAAACUAAUAUUACUUUCUUUUCCUCUCUUUAAUAUUUUCGAACUUUUUUAAAAUGUUUGCAGGUUGAGCGGCGGAUGUGGAGUGUGGUGCUGAGAUGAAGAUCUUUUAUUGAAAUCUCGUUUUUUUGUCUCAUCCGUUUCGAUAUUUUUUUUAAAUAUCGCAUUCUAAAAGUAAUUAUGAAAAGGUAUUCAUCGAUUCUCAUAUAUAUAAAAGUACUGAAAUAAAUAUAUAAAUAAUCUAACUCACCUUCAAUUCAACCUCUUCCCGGCAACUAUAUUCUGGCGCGCCAACUUCGCUUUCCAUCAAAAAACCAAAAUUACAAAUCCAAAUUUGGUAGGUCAAUUUUCACUUUUCUUCUCCCUCCAUUUUGUCAUUUGAUCAUUUUUAAGUCGAAAUGAUGGAGGAAAAAUUAUAUUUAGCCUAUUAUUGUUGAAAAUCUAUUAAGUUUGAUUUCUUCUAGUGUCUAAAUUCACAGUAUACGAAGUAUAAUGAUAAAUAACUUGUACAAACUAAAGAAAGUAAUUUUAUGGAAAAAUAAUUAAUCUCCGUAAAUAAAUAUGAAUCAUGUUUGACACUAUUGUUAUUUUUUCUCUGAGGCCGACACUAUUGAAUUUAUUAUCUUUAAUAUUAUAUUCUGUUAAAUUAGGGAUGAAAUUUAGUGUCCCAUAUUUUUUUGUGUGUCAAUCGUAUCCCAAUAUUAUAUUAUUAUUAAUAGUAAUAUUUUUGCAAAAAUAAAGUUUAAUAUAAUAUUCACGAAUUAUAUUUACCCUAACUUUCGAUUUAUCGAUCUAAUAAAGCAUUAUUAACUAAUAAAUAGUAUAGAAAUUAAAUAAUAAAAGAAAAAUAAUAUACCCAAAAUUGAUGGAAUAAAUUUUAAUAAAUAAUUACAAAAUUAAAAUUGAAAAACAAAGAGGAAAGAAAAUAAAAAUUAAAGUGAGACAUUGAAUUUAAUUAGUACAUUGAAUCUCAAUAAAUCUAGACAAGAGUCAAAGUGCGAAUCUUAGCAACUUUCAGAUUAAUUAGAUAAACUUUGAUGAUAUGAAUAUUUAGGGUAAGUCAUUCUUAGUUUCAUUUUUAUUUUUAUUUGUUCAUUGGUAUUGGCCAUCGUUUCUGUUUUGACGAAAAGUUAAUUUCAUGAGUUUUUUUAUACCCAUAUGGCCAUAUGCAACUUGCAAAAGUUUUAUCAGUUUUUUAUACUCAUAUGGCCAUAUGCAUCUUGCAUUAUUCUUCUAAAAAUAUACCAUAACAAAUAUUUAAUAUCUAUUCAAUACCUUUAUAUAAACCCCUAUCCACAUGAAAAUCCAAUCACACCAAUACAUUCCCAUCUCUAUCAAGUUAAAUUAGCUAGCAACAAAGAAUUAAAAUGGCAAAGCUAGGCUCCAUUGGUGUGAUCCUAACAAUCUCAUGCUUGCUAGCGUUGACACUAUACGUCAAUGCUAGAAAGCAAGGCCUUGAUAUUGCGGAGGAUUUCCUAGAUUUCCCCCGCAAAGACUUCUACCUCGAAAAAGAAAAGGUCGUGAAGUUCCGCGUCUUUGUUCAGGAUCUCAGUGUAAAUCACCCCAACACCACCACGUACGACGUGGCACAGGCCUCCAUCACCGCGACCUCCCCGACCAGCUUCGGCAAAGUCCGUGUCAUCGACGACCUAGUCACAGCGCAGCCGGAUGGCAACUCCAGGGCGCUCGGCCGCCUCCAAGGGCUCCUCACGAGAUCCGACCUAACGACGCUCGCGAUCUCAGUGAACCUCAACUUGUACUUCUCGGCGGGGCCUUACGCCGGCAGCAUCAUUAGCCUCCUCGGCCG